CGAGGACUGAAAAAGGGUGGAUAACUCAAGGUUGCUGAAAGGGAAGAAGAAGAAGCAUUGUGAUUUUAGAGCCAAAAGUUGAAAUUUGGACGAUCGGAAAUUGGAGAGCAGCGUACCAACCAAAUUCACCUCGUUCAUAGGAUUUGCUGCACCUGAGUUUCAUAGAGAUAGCCAACCAGUUUCUGCCACUCACCGUCUCAGAAUUUGCAUAUCAUUUUGUAUGUACAUCUAGAAUGACUUAUACUGG